rnacentral:tRNA from 1 species
UAAGGGGUAGGGAAAUGGUAUCCCAUAAAACUUUGAAUUUUGUAUUAAGAGUUCGACUCUCUUCCCCUUGG